rnacentral:rRNA from 1 species
UACAGAGGUCUCAAGCGUUGUUCGGAUUCAUUGGGCGUAAAGGGUGUGUAGGUGGCGCCGUAAGUGGGGUGUGAAAUUUCGAGGCUUAACCUCGAAACUGCAUUCCAUACUGCGGUGCUUGAGGACUGGAGAGGAGACUGGAAUUUACGGUGUAGCAGUGAAAUGCGUAGAUAUCGUAAGGAAGACCAGUGGCGAAGGCGGGUCUCUGGACAGUUCCUGACACUGAGACACGAAGGCCAGGGGAGCAAACGGG